CCCUGAAGCCCACCAUCCCACACACCGCAUGCCAUGGAUCGCGCCGCCGCCCUGCUCCUGACUAUUCCCAUCGCUCCUUUUCCCUUCCGCCGCCGCUGUCCACCGCAUCCAGCCUCUGUCGUUUCCCACCGCCACCGUGAACCAUCUCUCCCCUUGGCCUUCUCUCUUGGACCAGAACGCGGCGGCAGAUGCUUCCGGUGGUGUGUGGCAACGCGGCUGGUCGAGGGACGGGGGUGAGGCGGACUGUGUCCCAUUCAUCGAUCUGUCCCCACCUCCUGUUCGUCCUCUUCAUUGAAUGUCACGUCCGCAGUUAGUGCGACACAUGGCGCUCUCCUCUCCGACGAUGAUGCCUAUAGGCGAGAACAAUGGUGUCAUGUUCUGCCGCUCCACACUUGAGACCGCUGAGGCGCGGAAGUACCUGGGAAGAUCGCACUACCUGUAGCAAAUUCGAUCGUGUUCUGAGUGGCUAACCGGCAAGACCCUGUGAUGGAUGUUUCCUCAGCAACGCCAGUCAGGGGUUCAGGGUCCAGUGGAACUCAUGGCAUCAGUAAUAUGGACCUUCAUGUAUUUGAUAGUUUGCUCGAUCAGGUUUAUGCCUUCAACUAUAGCUAAGGCUACCAGACAACUUCAUUGAGAUUUUUUUCUAUAGGACUUGGAUUAAUAAUCUCUCUCAAUGUGGUCAUGCUUCUUAUAUUUACUUUCAGUUCAAAAUACAUUUUAGAUUUUCUUUAUGCUAUACUACUAAACUGUGUGCGCUAAACCGAACAUGAGUUUUGAAGCUGAAGCAAUCGGAGGCAAUCUUGCGGCAUGUAUACUCUUUCCCUCUCCCAAUGGAAAUCAAAUCCACGCCCCUCUCAAAACCAAGUACGGGCAAGGAUCCUGUAUAAUCAAGGAGCUUAUUGUGUCAAAAUUAUUUUUGUCAUCUGGAUCAGUUGUACUCUCGGAUAGUGUUGUGCUCUCAAGGGUUUCAAUCCAUAAUCUUCUCGCGUACAUACUACCUAUGGAUACCUUGGAUCCAUCAUGACAUAACUAUGCUCAUUAGGUGAGUUUAUAAAUUAAGAAACAUGUUGUCUAAACAAACCAUAACAUGAAGGAGCCUAUAUGGCAGGGUUAAUAUCUUUUCUUGAUUUUCUUUGUUGCUGGUCUGCCACAAUCUCCUGUUCGAGCAAGUACCUUGCCAAGAUGGCAUGUUCUGACUGUUGUAGGUUAGUGAAAUGGCUUCUCAUGAACUUUUGUUCUUAUCCCCUUUCAGUCAGAUAGUUAUAUUGUGAACCCCUUGAUAAUGAAGCUCUCUGUGAAUUAUUAGAGCAUUUACAGUUUUCAUUGUAAAUCUGAAUGUUUUUGCAGGCAAUUGGUUUGUAAAAGCAAUGGCACCUGAUAACUAUUAAAGCAUUGGGUGUCGUUGUUGUUGCACUUUCUAGAAGUAUGGGGGUUGAUUUUCUGUCAAUUGUGCAUUAAAACUGACAACUACUAAAUUUCAGUGCCUUCUUUGACAAUUUUAGUUAAAUAGAAUGGUGUAUGAAAUUAUCGGUGUCACCUAGGAGUUAUCAUGGCUUGGUUGGAUAAUAGCAGUUUUACUGUGUUGAUAUUAACGUCAACACAAACAAACUCUCAUCUACGUUUGCUUCGUCUCCUACCAGGAAAUAAUGUGUGCAUACCUAUCCACUUAAACGCUGCCCGGGGCUACUAUGUACUCGGCCCCAACGAUAGAGUUUAACGGCGAGACACGCCGAUCUCACAACUUUCCAGCCAAUGCUGCUCACUGGCUCCAUCCUCCACUCAACGAGGAAAAGCUGAAUGCUUGAGGAAAAGAAACUAUGAGUUCUCUGCAUUUAAUCGACAUCGUUUUGGUUACUUCGAUUCUCCUCCUACAAUUUUUGCAUCGGCUGCCUGAUGUGAUGCUUUGUAUGAGAACAAGACUAAUAUGAUUUGUCUUUGCUGCAUGUACCAUUCGACUUAGUUGUACUCAGUAAGGAAUAUUUUAGAAAAUAAGUCCCAACAACGUGGAUGUCAGAUUUAUUAACUACUAUGGCUCUUGGUUUUGAAGAAUUUGAUUAUUGGGAUUUUAGUCAUGCCCUGACCACGUACAAUAGAUGUAGACACCAUUGUUGCUUCCUAUUUGCAUGUGAUUUAGAUAUUUGUAAACCUUAUCUGUACCAUUGAAUUAUGUUGGUAUGUAGGUCGCUCGAUAUGUUCAUCGAUGCUGUGGACAGCAAUUUUUAUUAUCGUUGCCCAUAUCUAUCUAAUUAGGUUUGUACGGCAAUUUGUUUUGUUUAUCAUAUUUAUCUAGAAAAUCAGAUUUAUGAAGCUUAUAAUUUAUUAGUUUUUCUGUAAUUUCCCUUUUUUUGCUGAUACUCCACUACUCAGGAUUAUAAGAGCAUCACCUUUGUGAGCAUUUUUCUUUCAGUUGUAGCAAGGUGUUAGUACGGUUCUACACAGAAAGCUGCACAGCAUGCCUAAUUUUGUACUUACCUUGCAGUUAUGUAGAUCUACUACAACUAUAUGAUGUCCUCAUAUCAGAACUUUGCAAGCAUGACAAAAUAUCAGCAUAUGAUUUUCGCCUCUUUUUUAUGUUCUGAAUUUCUGUAAUUUGAGACUUUGAGUGGGGAUUAAGAGCACGAUAAUUGCAAGGAUUUUCCUCUUCGGUUUUGUAAGUUAUUGGUGUUGUUCCAGUCCAUUACCGCAGAGCACGCCUUUGGUUAGAUCGUACAUUCAUAGUAGUUUGAUGUACUACGUUUCGGUUGGCAUAUAGGAUUCUUAUGGGGACAUGUGAUUCACUUUAUUUCGUUCUGUUUUCAGGCCGACGAAAUUGCUGGACUGGAAAAAAAACAGUGCGUAUAUAUGGUAAUUCUCAUUGCGAAAAAAAUCUGUGCGUAUAUAUGGUAAUUCUCAUUGCAACGUACAUCUUCCUCUAGAAAAGGCAUUGCUGUAAUAAUAAUUUCUAUAUAUUUUCUAAUAACUUCUGGUUGGACACUUGAGCUCGGUUAGUAAGUCUUUACUUUGAAAUAUAUUCACUAAUUGCGAAAUUAAUGUUUGUAUGCAGUUACAUGGUUUAAUAUUUUUUAGUACAAAAACAUGGUUGUCUAUAUGCAAGUCUAAGCAAUCUUUUGAAAAUACCUUUCUAUUUAAAGUGUCAGGAGAUUUCUUACUACAGAAACUAAUUUUCUAUAAAAUCCAUCGCUACUCUUUUGAAUAUUUUAUUUCCCCCAAUCAAAUGUAUGAUUUUCAGUAUUUUUAUCAUCUACGCCAACUUUAUAUGUAUUAAGUAAAGUCAUGUGCAUUUGUUAGGUCCUUGCAUGGAUUUUCUUGAUUAUUGGUAGUGUGGAAUAUUUUACUACCCCGAACUACAAAAAGAGGGGCGCAAAAUAUUUGACAGCUAACUCUGACCAUCAUUAGAGUAAACUAUGUUAUGGCAUGCGAGUUGGCAGGAUCAACAACUUAUCAGAACUUUCCUCCAGUUGCACUCAUAUGCUAAAGAUCAUAACAUCUCUGUUCUUAUGACUAAAUUACAUGAUGACACUAAUAUUUAUGAAUUAUUUCACAUCCCUGUGUUACCCAUUGCUGUACAACAGCUACAGGAGUUGAUACAGAGCUUCAACAUUGAGAAUGAUGCUAUUCAAUAAGACAGCUGGCCAUUUCACUUGGGUAAUGGAAAAUAAUGUACCAGAAACAAACCCUUAUUGGUGAUCCUCAGUCUGCUCCAGCACCAUUCAAAUGGAUACGGAAAUAUGCAUGCUUAAAAAAAGUUGACUGGCUUAUACAGGAGAGACUCAACACAAGAGAUCCGAUGAAGAGAGAUAAUUUCUUUGCUGAGUAUGAAAAAUGUUUUCUAUGUGAGGAAGGCACAGAUGAAACUAUGAUGUAUUUUUUAUCAUGUGCACCCAGUUAGAUUUUUGGUGGAAUCUAAGUAUUGAAUGGGAUGCUGAUAUGCUCAAUGAAGCAAAGAACAGGAAGAGCAUCAUAUGUUUCAAAAAGAUAAUAACCGGAUGUUGGUCUAUAUGGAAGCAUAGAAACAUCUUUGAUAACAAAGAUACUAAUAUAAA